rnacentral:rRNA from 1 species
UACAGAGGGUGCGAGCGUUGUCCGGAAUCACUGGGCGUAAAGGGCGCGUAGGUGGCCCGACAAGUCUGUGGUGAAAGCUCGACGCUCAACGUCGAGUCGGCCAUAGAUACUGUUGGGCUGGAGCACUGUAGAGGCUCAUGGAAUUCCGGGUGUAGCGGUGGAAUGCGUAGAGAUCCGGAAGAACACCGGUGGCGAAGGCGGCCUGCUGGGACAGUGCUGACGCUGAGGCGCGACAGCGUGGGGAGCAAACAGG